CUUUGUUCAGGGCUGUUUUGCCAUUGUCUGCGGGCAGUGCUCGGCACAUAAUAACUGCUCAGCAAAUAUUUACUGAACGAAUGAAAGUGAAAUGAAUACACUGGUAAAGCACAAAAUAGAGACUCAAUAACUACUAGUGUUUUCUUCUUUAAGAAUAUGGGUUUACCUUUGCAUGCGUUGUCUCCCUGUAUAACAUGGAAAUGAGCUAGACCACAGGUCGUGGAAUUCAGCAGUCCUGCCUGUUCAGGCCAAGCGGAUCUUUUCUGGAUUCUUUAACUUCUUCCGUAGAAGACUAUCUGAGCUAUUAUCAUCUGAAUGGCCUGGAGAAGAAUUUAGCUUCAGGUUCAAGAGCAUUUGUUGGUUGCACAUAUGCUCAAACUUUCCCAAUUAAAAUAGAAAGAAAAAUAGAGAAAGAGAAAAGAGUUCUUGACUCUGCCUCUUUUCUCAAAGCGGCACUGGCUCUGGGGCAGAGCAGAGCUUGGAACGGAAUAAAGGGAGAAGGACCCCCUAGAGGGUCUGAAUAGAGCUUGGAGGCCUCAGAAAAGUGGGUCUCCACUGUCUUCAUUCCCUUGCCACCCAGAAACGACACACAUUGGCGAGAGAGCCUCACCGAUGAGGACAUACAGAGAAAGAAGGGGCCUUCUAGAACGAAGCUUGGGCUUCAUCCUGUGAUUGUGUUCUGAAAAAGCCUGAGCUUGGAUUGAGAACUGGGUGGCUUUUUAGGAAGUGCCUUCCCAAGUCCUGGGCUAAGAGUCACUCACCAUCAGAGGGACUGGACCAGGUACCCACAGAGCAGGUUGGAGUUACUUCCUGGAUACGGUCUCUGAGUGAACAGAAUCCUUGAGUUCCACGUGGUUGUCAGCUCGCAGGUAAUGCUGGAUGGAUGCUAUGUUUCAGUGUAUUUUGUGCUUUUUUUAGUGCCUUCAACUUAGAUUCUUUCUUGUGUAUAAUAUGCCAAGCCACCCCUUGUCCCCUAAAGUCUCACUGAAACUCCCCUUCACUUGGUGACUGUAUUCACAGAUGCUCAUGGGACACUUCAAGACACUUGGAUUCUCUCCUUUGGCUUCCAGUACUCCUGCAAGAGUCGGACAUGACUUAGCGACUAAAUCACCACCACCACCACCACCACCACCACUCCCUAAGGCACCCUGGUGGUGCCUGUGACACUUCUGACACCCCUCUAUCCACUCAUUUGAGCACCUCCUCCUAGUCUACUAGAUGUCAGACACGACUGAGCAACUUUCAUCGCUUACUCCUAGUCUACUGCCCUGAAAUAUUCUCCCAGUGUUCUGCCCACCCAGAAUCUACAAAGAGCGAUUCACCAUCCUUUAGUUAUUCUUCCAGUGAGUGUAUUGUUAUAAAAAAUAGAACAGUCAGUUAUUUUACCAGCAUCAUGGGUUGAUUUGAGAAUAGCAGAGGAAUUGCAAUUCGGACAACAAAGUUAUGGCAAAAAUAUAGGUGAGCCCAACGGCAAACAAGCAUGACUUUAUAGAGAAAAGGAAGUUGGG
rnacentral:lncRNA from 1 species